rnacentral:RNase_P_RNA from 1 species
UGAUUGGAUUGGGCAGUCGCUGGUGCCAUGCACGAGAGGAAAGUCCGAGCUCCAUAGAGCAGGAUGACGGCUAACGGCCGCCGAGGGUGACCUUAGGGAAAGUGCAACAGAAAGAUACCGCCAAAUGAAAGUUUGGUAAGGGUGGAAUGGUGAGGUAAGAGCUCACCGGCAUGGUGGAGACAUCAUGGCCCUGUAAACCCCAUCCGGAGCAACACCGACUUGCAUAGGCUUGCUCGGCCGCAUAAAGCAGAAGGGUGGCUAGAGUUGUGCAGCAAUGUGCAAUGUAGAUAGAUGAUUGCCUUAAAAGACAGAACUCGGCUUACAGGUCCUAUCACGUA